rnacentral:rRNA from 1 species
AAAGUCUCCUUCGGGGGGCAAGUAGAGUGGCGCACGGGUGAGUAACACGUAGGUAAUCUACCUUUGGAUGGGGAAUAACAACCGGAAACGGUUGCUAAUACCGCAUAAUGCAGCGGCACCUAAUGGUGACAGUUGUUAAAGCGGGGGAUCGAAAGACCUCGCGUCUAAAGAGGAGCCUGCGGCGGAUUAGCUAGUUGGUAAGGUAAUGGCUUACCAAGGCUACGAUCCGUAACCGGCCUGAGAGGGCGGUCGGUCACACUGACACUGACAUACGGGUCAGACUCCUACGGGAGGCAGCAGUCGGGAAUUUUGGGCAAUGGGCGAAAGCCUGACCCAGCAACGCCGCGUGAAGGAUGAAAUCCCUCGGGAUGUAAACUUCGCAAGAACGGGAAGAAUAAGUAGGGGACAAUACCCCCUAUGAUGACGGUACCGUUUGUAAGCUCCGGCUAACUCCGUGCCAGCAGCCGCGGUAAUACGGGGGGAGCAAGCGUUGUUCGGAUUUACUGGGCGUAAAGGGCGCGUAGGCGGUCAGCACAAGUCAAUUGUGAAAUCUCCGAGCUUAACUCGGAAAGGUCAACUGAAACUGUGCGACUAGAGUGCGGAAGGGGCAACUGGAAUUCUUGGUGUAGCGGUGAAAUGCGUAGAUAUCAAGAGGAACACCUGCGGCGAAGGCGGGUUGCUGGGCCGACACUGACGCUGAAGCGCGAAAGCCAGGGGAGCGAACGGGAUUAGAUACCCCGGUAGUCCUGGCCUUAAACGAUGAAUGCUUGGUGUCUGGGGUUAUAAAGUCCCCGGGUGCCGUCGCUAACGCUUUAAGCA